UAUACUGCAAGUCGAGCGGACAGAAGGGAGCUUGCUCCCGGAUGUUAGCGGCGGACGGGUGAGUAACACGUGGGUAACCUGCCUGUAAGACUGGGAUAACUCCGGGAAACCGGAGCUAAUACCGGAUAGUUCCUUGAACCGCAUGGUUCAAGGAUGAAAGACGGUUUCGGCUGUCACUUACAGAUGGACCCGCGGCGCAUUAGCUAGUUGGUGGGGUAAUGGCUCACCAAGGCGACGAUGCGUAGCCGACCUGAGAGGGUGAUCGGCCACACUGGGACUGAGACACGGCCCAGACUCCUACGGGAGGCAGCAGUAGGGAAUCUUCCGCAAUGGACGAAAGUCUGACGGAGCAACGCCGCGUGAGUGAUGAAGGUUUUCGGAUCGUAAAGCUCUGUUGUUAGGGAAGAACAAGUGCGAGAGUAACUGCUCGCACCUUGACGGUACCUAACCAGAAAGCCACGGCUAACUACGUGCCAGCAGCCGCGGUAAUACGUAGGUGGCAAGCGUUGUCCGGAAUUAUUGGGCGUAAAGGGCUCGCAGGCGGUUUCUUAAGUCUGAUGUGAAAGCCCCCGGCUCAACCGGGGAGGGUCAUUGGAAACUGGGAAACUUGAGUGCAGAAGAGGAGAGUGGAAUUCCACGUGUAGCGGUGAAAUGCGUAGAGAUGUGGAGGAACACCAGUGGCGAAGGCGACUCUCUGGUCUGUAACUGACGCUGAGGAGCGAAAGCGUGGGGAGCGAACAGGAUUAGAUACCCUGGUAGUCCACGCCGUAAACGAUGAGUGCUAAGUGUUAGGGGGUUUCCGCCCCUUAGUGCUGCAGCUAACGCAUUAAGCACUCCGCCUGGGGAGUACGGUCGCAAGACUGAAACUCAAAGGAAUUGACGGGGGCCCGCACAAGCGGUGGAGCAUGUGGUUUAAUUCGAAGCAACGCGAAGAACCUUACCAGGUCUUGACAUCCUCUGACAACCCUAGAGAUAGGGCUUUCCCUUCGGGGACAGAGUGACAGGUGGUGCAUGGUUGUCGUCAGCUCGUGUCGUGAGAUGUUGGGUUAAGUCCCGCAACGAGCGCAACCCUUGAUCUUAGUUGCCAGCAUUCAGUUGGNCACUCUAAGGGGACUGCCGGUGACAAACCGGAGGAANGNGGGGGAUGACGUCAAAUCUUCAUGCCCCUUAU
rnacentral:rRNA from 1 species